rnacentral:lncRNA from 1 species
AUUGCAUUGGCUGGAGACGGCGUGUCACCUAACCUGGAACCAACAGGUCCCAUGGCCAUGCCUGAAGCAUCCAUUUGAGAAAAUGGAUUCACCGAUGGACUUGGUCCAUCAGGCUCACACCCAGAGUAGGCCUGAGAUAAUUCCAAGCAAAUCACACAACUCAGAAGGAGGGGACUUCUCCCAAGGAACGGUUGGCAGCAGAAGAGUCGUCAAUGACAGCACAUUGGUUGCCAUUUCUUGGAGACACUUCUUUGUAGAAAGGUUCGUAUGUACCCAUUAGGAUUAUUGAAGGUAAGCCUUUUGACAAGGUUGGGGGAGGAGGUGAAUGUGGGAAAGGGAUGAGGAAAAGAGCUUAAUCAUUUAAAAGUGUCAAUAAUUUUUACUCUUGGGUCCAUCACCUUCUGUCUAUACAAUGUUGGGACUCUCUAUGCCUCAGUUUUCCUCAUGUGCAAAACUGGGAUCAUAAUAGGGCCAAGCUCGGAGAGGUGUAGGGUACCAUGGGUGACUAUUCUGUGUUUUGUCCCUGCCAGUGUCUGGCACAUAGUAAGUGCUCUUUUUGUCCCCCACGCUUAUUCAUAUUCUAAUCAAUAAAUAAGGAGUGGGAGGGGCUGGGCA